rnacentral:tRNA from 1 species
GCCUGGGUGGCUCAGUGGUUGAGCAUCUGCCUUUGGCUCAGGUUGUGGUCCUGGGAUCGAGUCCCACAUCAGGCU